rnacentral:rRNA from 1 species
GACGAACGCUGGCGGCGUGCUUAACACAUGCAAGUCGAACGAGUGGCGAACGGGUGAGUAAUGUAUGGGGAUCUGCCUGAUGGAGGGGGAUAACUCCUGGAAACGGUAGAUAAUACCCCAUACCCCCAGAGGAACCCAUAUGGGAUGGGCGAGUAGGUGAGGUAACGGCUAACCUAGGCGACGCUCCCUAGCUGGUCUGAGAGGAUGAUCAGCCACACGGGGAUGGAGACACGGCCCAGACUCCUACGGGAGGAAGCAGUGGGGAAUAUUGCACAAUGGGCGCAAGCCUGAUGCAGCCAUGCCGCGUGUAUGAAGAAGGCCUUCGGGUUGUAAAGUACUUUCAGUCGGGAGGCGUUACCGACAGAAGAAGCACCGGCUAACUCCGUGCCAGCAGCCGCGGUAAUAC